rnacentral:misc_RNA from 1 species
UACUUGCUGCAGAACUCUCUG